rnacentral:rRNA from 1 species
UACGUAGGGGGCAAGCGUUAUCCGGAUUUACUGGGUGUAAAGGGAGCGUAGACGGCAAUGCAAGUCUGGAGUGAAAGGCGGGGGCCCAACCCCCGGACUGCUCUGGAAACUGUAUAGCUGGAGUGCAGGAGAGGUAAGUGGAAUUCCUAGUGUAGCGGUGAAAUGCGUAGAUAUAUGGAGGAACACCGGUGGCGAAAGCGGCUCUCUGGCCUGUAACUGACACUGAGGCUCGAAAGCGUGGGGAGCAAACAGG